rnacentral:rRNA from 1 species
ACUCCUACGGGAGGCAGCAGUGGGGAAUAUUGCGCAAUGGGCGAAAGCCUGACGCAGCGACGCCGCGUGGAGGAUGAAGGCCUUCGGUCGUAAACUCCUGUCAAGAGGAAGAACCGCGCAUGGAGUAAUACGCCAUGCGUCUGACGGUACCUCUAGAGGAAGCACCGGCUAACUCCGUGCCAGCAGCCGCGGUAAGUACGGAGGGUGCAAGCGUUAAUCGGAAUCACUGGGCGUAAAGCGCACGUAGGCGGCUUUGUAAGUCAGGUGUGAAAGCCCUCGGCUCGAACCGGGGUAAUUGCACUUGAUACUGCUUAGCUUGAGUUCAGGAGAGGGUGGCGGAAUUCCAGGUGUAGGAGUGAAAUCCGUAGAUAUCGUGGAGGAACGACCGGUGGCGAAGGCGGCCACCGUGGACUGACACUGACGCUGAGGUGCGAAAGCGUGGGAGCAAA